rnacentral:rRNA from 1 species
GACGAACGCUGGCGGCGUGCUUAACACAUGCAAGUCGAACGGAAAGGCCCUGCUUUUGUGGGGUGCGCGAGUGGCGAACGGGUGAGUAACACGUGAGUAACCUGCCCUUGACUUUGGGAUAACUUCAGGAAACUGGGGCUAAUACCGGAUAGGAGCUCCUGCUGCAUGGUGGGGGUUGGAAAGUUUCGGCGGUUGGGGAUGGACUCGCGGCUUAUCAGCUUGUUGGGGGGGAAGUGGUUUACCAAGGCUUUGACGGGUAGCCGGCCUGAGGGGGUGACCGGCGACAUUGGGACUGCGAUACGGCCCAGACUCGUACGGGAGGCAGCAGUGGAGAAUAUUGCACAAUGGGCGGAAGCCUGAUGCAGCAACGCCGCGUGCGGGAUGACGGCCUGCGGGUUGUAAAACGCUUGCGCCUGUGACGAAGCGUGAGUGACGGUAAUGGGUAAAGAAGCACCGGCUAACUACGUG